rnacentral:rRNA from 1 species
CAGCUCCAAUAGCGUAUAUUAAAGUUGUUGCAGUUAAAUAGCUCGUAGUUGAACUUUGGGCCUGACUAUGCGGUCUGGCCUCGCGUCAGUACUGCACUGGUUGGGUCUUUCCUUCUCGAAAACCAUGUGCUCUUAACUGGGUGCUAUGGGGAUCGAGGACUUUUACUUUGAAAAAAUUAGAGUGUUUAAAGCAGGCAUAAGCUUG